rnacentral:lncRNA from 1 species
AAGAGAAAAUAUGAGCCACGUAUAUGCUCAGUCAGCGACACGACGAAUUACUGCAUGUCGUGUGGCAAACAUGCCGACACGAGCUCCACAUGAGAAGCCAUGUGGACAAUCCACGUGCUAUGCUGAUCGAAUGGCUCGGGGCCACUCCCACGUGCACGAAUGGGCCAGACCAAUUCCUUGAAUAAGCUUAAUCGAAUGGCCCACGUGUCUUCAUUCGAACGGUCUGGAUUUAUUUCCCAAAUAAGUGAGAUCAGACGGCUCCUAGUGCCUUACGUCGACCCAAGCGUACGAGUAAGAUUAGAGGAUGAAAGGUAUUUAAACGUCUCUUACUCGGCUCCCUAAACCCUACCUGAUGCACCCACCAGAGAAGAAGAAGAAGGGCAGCAGAAAGGGGACUCAACCGCUGGAGGAACGCCGACGCCACCGGGCUGGAACAUCAAAAGCACUCUAGUAAGUCAAAUUUUCUUCUCAUUCUUCUCGUUUCUUCGCCCUUAGCUACCUAACAGGUUUCUAAUAUAGGGUGAUUGAGAGAAGCCGCAAACUGCAAGGAAGGAACGACGGAGCUUGGCUGAGCCGCCGCAUCAGAAGACCGAAACCAUCAUCAAUAAGGCUAUGUUUUUGCCACUCUUUCACCGAAAAACACCCCUAACCACGAUUUAAAUAGAUUUUAACCAAGAACUGGCCAAAAUCAGU